AUUGAACGCUGGCGGCAUGCCUUACACAUGCAAGUCGAACGGCAGCACGGACUUCGGUCUGGUGGCGAGUGGCGAACGGGUGAGUAAUGUAUCGGAACGUACCUUUCAGUGGGGGAUAACGUAGCGAAAGUUACGCUAAUACCGCAUAUUCUGUGAGCAGGAAAGCGGGGAUCGCAAGACCUUGCGCUGAUUGAGCGGCCGAUAUCAGAUUAGCUAGUUGGUGGGGUAAAGGCCUACCAAGGCUACGAUCUGUAGCGGGUCUGAGAGGAUGAUCCGCCACACUGGGACUGAGACACGGCCCAGACUCCUACGGGAGGCAGCAGUGGGGAAUUUUGGACAAUGGGCGGAAGCCUGAUCCAGCCAUGCCGCGUGAGUGAAGAAGGCCUCGGUUGUUAAAGGACUCUUUCCGGUUGGGGAAGGAAAGUUAG
rnacentral:rRNA from 1 species